UGCCCAAGAAGAUCGGGAUAACACCUGGAAACAGAUGCUAAUACCGGAUAACAACAGAUGAUGCCUAUCAAACUGUUUAAAAGAUGGUUCUGCUAUCACUCUUGGAUGGACCUGCGGUGCAUUAGCUAGUUGGUAGGGUAACGGCCUACCAAGGCGAUGAUGCAUAGCCGAGUUGAGAGACUGAUCGGCCACAUUGGGACUGAGACACGGCCCAAACUCCUACGGGAGGCAGCAGUA
rnacentral:rRNA from 1 species